CCUACGGGAGGCAGCAGUUAGGAAUUUUGGGCAAUGGGCGAAAGCCUGACCCAGCAACGCCGCGUGGGUGACGAAGGCCUUCGGGUUGUAAAGCCCUUUUCUGAGGGAAGAUGAUGACGGUACCUCAGGAAUAAGCACCGGCUAACUACGUGCCAGCAGCCGCGGUAAUACGUAGGGUGCAAGCGUUGCCCGGAUUUAUUGGGCGUAAAGGGCGCGCAGGCGGCUACGCACGUCCGUUGUGAAAUCGCUCGGCUCAACUGGGCGGGGUCAGCGGAUACGGCGUAGCUGGAGCAAGCUAGGGGGCAAUGGAAUUCCCGGUGUAGUGGUGGAAUGCGUAGAUAUCGGGAGGAACACCAGUGGCGAAGGCGGUUGCCUGGAGCUUUGCUGACGCUGAGGCGCGAAAGCGUGGGGAGCGAUCCGGAUUAGAUACCCGGGUAGUCCACGCCGUAAACGAUGUCGACUAGGUNUCGGGGGUAUCGACCCCUCGGCGCCGCAGCUAACGCAUUAAGUCGACCGCCUGGGGACUACGGCCGCAAGGGCUAAAACUCAAAGAGUAGUACGGCGUGAGAGAGCGACGACGACGACGACGGAGGAG
rnacentral:rRNA from 1 species